rnacentral:lncRNA from 1 species
AAAGAACUGUUUCCUUUAUUGCCCCUGAGGUCGGAACUAUUUUCGCUACGUUUGUAAAACUAUGAUGUAUAUUUAUUAAUGAAAAUUUAUAGGUUCCAGAAAAGCUGUGAUUGAAAUUAAAAUAAAUGGCGAGUGAGUCCAUGGGACACAGAAGAUUCCCCAGCUUCUAUAUAAUGUUGUACAUGGUUAUAACUUUAGAACGGUAACCCAUAUUCAAACUUGAUCUGCG